rnacentral:rRNA from 1 species
GACGAACGCUGGCGGCGUGCUUAACACAUGCAAGUCGAACGGAAAGGCCCUGCUUUUGUGGGGUGCUCGAGUGGCGAACGGGUGAGUAACACGUGAGUAACCUGCCCUUGACUUUGGGAUAACUUCAGGAAACUGGGGCUAAUACCGGAUAGGAUCUCCUGCUGCACGGGGGGGGUUGGUAAGUGUCGGCGGUUGGGGAUGGACUCGCUGCUUAUCAGCUUGUUGGGGUGGUAGUUACUUACCACGGCUUUGAGGGGUAGCCUGCCUGGGAGGGUGGACAGGGACCAUGGGACUGAGAGACGGCCCAGACGGCUACGGGAGGCAGCGGUGGGGAGUCUGACAGAGCGGGCCGGAGCGUGAUGCAGCAACGCCGCGUGCGGAAUACCGGCCUUCGGGUUAUAAACCGCUUUCGCAUGUGACGAAGCGUGAGUGACGGUAAUGAGUAAAGAAGCACCGGCUAACUACGUG